CAUUGUACGCUGAUCAGUAACAUCGCCUUGUCGCAAAAUGCACUGUAUAUGAAAGCGCUGUUUCUGAGCGUUAUUUUGAUGUAUUGCUCGAUGGAUUUCGCCAAGUAUAAAGCUUUAAACUUUGCGUUCAAAGACAGGGAAUUCGAGUUUCGGCUUUCACAAUUACAUUCGCAAAGUAACUGUGUCUGAAAGUGUAAAACAUCGCUUCUUCAGGAACAAAAUGGACCUGGCCGACGAUGCAUAUUUUAACAAAUGAAAGCCUUGAUGUGUAGUAUAAUAAUCAAACUUCUAAUUGUAUACGGCACAAAUGGAAAAGCGGUGCUAAGUAACUUGUUUAAGAUGCUUUAAUAUCAUGAAAUGCGGGAUUUUCUGUAAAUUUUUAUAAGGCUGUGUCCACAAUUGUUAAAGUCUCAUGCUAGCCGGAAGUACGUAACUACGGUUUGGUAGAAUUAUCAUCAAACUUCAACUUAAGAUAUGUUCCCGGAAGAUUAUAUCCUUUCCUCUAGAAGAUUAUUUACUGAUAAUACAGGCUUGUUUCUGCUUGUACAUAACGAUACAUACUAUAAAACAAAUGCAGUUAAAAGCAGAGUUAGCAAACACGACUCAAGAAUCCUUGACAACUGACAUAUGAUUGUAAAUUAUUUGAAAAAGUAAGUCACUGAGGAUGGAAAAGGUGUGUUAUCUUUCUAGUAUAUUCUGCAAGUGGCGAUACAUUUCAAUUAUGUUUGCAGACACUUCAAUAACCUCUACUAAUGAGAAAAUAUUAAUCAAUUAUUGCCAUAUUCCUGUUUUAUGUCCAGUGAUCUAGUAGGAAAAAUGGUUAUUUUAGGUAUGUUGAUAUGAUUACUAAUUAAUUGUAUUAAUGAGAAGCAACUGACGUUAAGUUAUAAUGGUUCCCACCCUCUUGCCUGAUUACCAGGUAAAACAUCUACAAUGUUUGCAGAAUGCAUGUGAAGCUUUUGUACUUGGUAAAUAUGUAAAUACAAAUAAGUUCUUAUAUUAACAUGGUUGCCUGUGUAUAAAAGAAGAGAGUUAAAUCUUCUCAAGCUUGUUCAUAUAUCAUUGCAUAAUGUGAUCAUAUCUGAGAAUCCUAAAUUGCAACUUUAUGUUGUUAAUACUUACAAUUUAACAUCUGCUGCGGCUCCUCUAAUUUAUAUUUCAAUUAAGGAACGUGGCACCUUUCAUGAUAUGGCUCCAAGAGACUUUUAAUCGGCUUGCUAUUGACAUUAGAAAAAUUGAACAUCAUGUUUCUCAAUGUUUGUGAAUGCAGUUAAAACUGACUUGCCUGCAAAAGCUAAAGCCUGCCUUGAAUAAGGGAAUCUUUGUUGAUCGAUAAUCCAGCAUAUUGUACUGCUUAAACAGUAAAUAGUUAGUUUCAGAAGGCGAAGAGCCACAUACAUGGAAAUACUUUUAAUAAAUCAUCAUUAUUAUAUUUCAUAGAGAAAGGGAACAGAUGAUCAUCAUACAUGUGCUUGGUAUACAAGGAAAAAACAACUUGAAGUCGAACUGGGGCUUUAGUUUUGGAUACUGUAAAUGAGAUAAUUUUUCCAAAUAAAAGAAUUUAAGAACUCAAAUACUGUGUCAUUGUGGGUUUAAAAGUUGUAAUUAUAGUUCUUAAAGUCUCUAUAAUUUUUUCCCAGAGAUAACAAAGUAGCAGGAUGUUUUAAAGAGAAGACUGAAAAAUGUGCAUCAACAACAUUGGUUAACAUCAAUUCAAUGAUGCUGAUGCAUGACAGAAGGAGCUAGUAUUUAUUGCUAAGUUAUAAGUAUGAACAUUUUGAAUAAUACAAUGACUUGUUGGCUGUCUGCAUAUCAUAAAUUUAAUGCAGAAUAUAUAGAGAGAAUGUGGACUUAACACAGUGAGAAUUGUUUCUAGUUGUAGAAUAUUGACUUCUAGCCAUUGGAGUUGAAAAAUCUAAUUGAGAAUAUUUUCUUGGAUGAAA